GAGAGUAGUGUUUCAUAGAGUCAUUUUCUUCUUCUGCUGCAAUUCUUAUAGGGACAUCGAUCGGUUCGCUGUAGAUCUAGAUCUAUCUUCACACAUGACGCAAGCUGUGACAUAUAUAUCUUGCUCAGUGGAAAUCAGGAUGCUCAACGUUUGGUUCCGUGUGCUGCAAGCCAAAUGCCGAGGCGACUGGGAUCAUGAGCCCCUCAUUAGGUGUUUGUAAGUUGCCUCAACUGAAUGCUUUUGAUUUUCAUAAUUUCAUUUGAUUGAAGGAAACUGAAUCUCUACAUUGUUUCGCCUAUUUGAAGAAAAUGUAGACAAAUCACAUGUAACAAUUAAUCAUGUUGACUAUAUUCUUGAUGUUUAAAAUUUAGAGGGGAAUUAGGGAACGUUCAUGAAGCAGAUCACAACCAGACUUUUGUUGAUGGUAAGUGUUUGAGCUUGUUGGCAAUUUGGCAUUAGGGAACGAGUUCAGAAAUUAGAUUCCAAUCAAAUUAGGAGUAUUGAAUUUGAAUUUGAAUUUGGAUUGUCAGGUUUCAGUUACUAAAAGUCAAAAGUUUACAGCAGUACUGCUACAUUGCUAUCAGAAAAUAUAUCUAGAGCUAGUAUAUGGUGUAGAGCUAUAGAGAUUUUGUCUGUAAUUGCUUGUGGGUGUUAAUCUGCCUAACUCAUCCACAUUGUAACGGUAUUUAGUAAUGUUCCACCUGAAUAUGGAUAGUACUACAGCUUCUUUCCUUUC